UGAAACCUCGCUGUGCAGCGACGGACGG
rnacentral:piRNA from 1 species